GCCGAGUUGGCAGAACGGUUCAUGCAUCCGGCUGCAGACCGGAAGAAGCGAGUUCAACUCUCGCACUCGGCU
rnacentral:tRNA from 1 species